rnacentral:rRNA from 1 species
UACGUAGGUGGCAAGCGUUAUCCGGAUUUAUUGGGCGUAAAGGGAACGCAGGCGGUCUUUUAAGUCUGAUGUGAAAGCCUUCGGCUUAACCGGAGUAGUGCAUUGGAAACUGGGAGACUUGAGUGCAGAAGAGGAGAGUGGAACUCCAUGUGUAGCGGUGAAAUGCGUAGAUAUAUGGAAGAACACCAGUGGCGGAAGCGGCUCUCUGGUCCGUAACUGACGCUGAGGUUCGAAAGCGUGGGUAGCAAACAGG